AGUUUCUUGUGCUUUUUUAAGAAAUGUUUUCUGCUCGGUGAUUUUAAACAGCUGCGGUAAUUUGACCGUGCAAAGGUAGCAUAAUCAUUUGCCUUAUAAUUGAAGGCUGGAAUGAAUGGGGUUAUGAGAUUUUUUCUUUAUUUGGAAGGGGUUAAUAAAUUUCUUAUUUAGUGAAGAAGCUAGAAUUAAAGAGGGGGACAAGAAGACCCUUUUGAGCUUUAUUAGUAGCUUUUUUUUUGUGAAGUGGGCUAAUUUGGUUGGGGCGACCAAGGAAUAGGGAUCUUCCUUUAUUAAUUUUGAUCCGAAGGUUUCGAUUAACAGAGUAAGUUACCAUAGGGAUAACAGCGUGAUUUCUUCUGUGAGUUCUUAUUAAAGGGGAAGAUUGCGACCUCGAUGUUGACUUAUAAUUUUCCGAAGGUGUAGUAGCUUUAAGGGUGGGUCUGUUCGACCUUUAAAAUUUU
rnacentral:rRNA from 1 species